rnacentral:rRNA from 1 species
CCUACGGGAGGCAGCAGUGGGGAAUUUUGGACAAUGGGGGCAACCCUGAUCCAGCCAUUCCGCGUGAGUGAAGAAGGCCUUCGGGUUGUAAAGCUCUUUCGCAAGGGAAGAAAACUUAUGAUCGAAUAAAUCAUGAGGUUGACGGUACCUUGAUAAGAAGCACCGGCUAACUACGUGCCAGCAGCCGCGGUAAUACGUAGGGUGCGAGCGUUAAUCGGAAUUACUGGGCGUAAAGCGUGCGCAGGCGGUUUUGUAAGUCGGAUGUGAAAUCCCCGGGCUCAACCUGGGAACUGCGUUCGAAACUGCAAGGCUAGAGUGUGUCAGAGGGGGGUAGAAUUCCACGUGUAGCAGUGAAAUGCGUAGAGAUGUGGAGGAAUACCAAUGGCGAAGGCAGCCCCCUGGGAUAACACUGACGCUCAUGCACGAAAGCGUGGGGAGCAAACAGGAUUAGAUACCCUGGUAGUCCACGCCCUAAACGAUGUCAACUAGUUGUUGGUAGAGUAAAAUCUAUGAGUAACGUAGCUAACGCGUGAAGUUGACCGCCUGGGGAGUCGGUCGCAAGNUUAAAACGUUCAAAUGAAUUGACCGGNNGNGAGNGCGAGACGACGACGAGGAGAGG